GCUGACGGCCGUACACAAGAGUUGGAGCGUAUCUCCUGUCGAAGAACAUCUCUAGACAUUAUGAACCAUCUGUCUAAGACUGAAAAUCAUCAAUAAACCAAAAGUUUGGUUUAGCUCCAACCCCAAUUAAGCAGACCUGAGCAGCUGAUCAAGGAUCACCAGAAACUCUGCAGAAGGUUGGUCCUCCAUGCCCAGGACUGGACACCAGUGUUAUGCUGGUGAAAAAACCGCCAGGCUACAGCAUUCAAAGUGGAAACUUCUGUUGUGGCUCAAUAAUCCAGGAUUGUGAUGGUGGAAGGAGCAGAAGAACCAGAAGAUCAGAGAUCAGGCAGAGAUCUACCGGUGCGCCUGAGGAAACAGAUCUACCUCAUGUCUUAGUUAAACCAAAGAUUCUCAUCACUCACCUCCAUGACGUUCCGAACCUGUAAGACUUUUGUUCAUCUUUGAAACAUAAAUGUAUAUCUUUUUAAUGAUAUCUGAGAAAUUUCUGCCCCUCCAUUUCACAGUUCAUGCAACUACCACUUUCAAGCCUCAGAAAGGUAGUAAAUACAUCAUUAAAGUAAACCCAUGUGACUCCAGUUGUUUAACCUCAAUUUAUGAAGUUAUAUGAAUGUUUUGUGUGCACAAAAAAACUUUGCAUUUUUAUUUACAAAAUAACAUGUUCACGAGAGCACCAUGAUGCAUCACUGUUGGGUUGGCAUGAGAGCUGGCCAUCUCAUGGUGCUUUUGUGAAAAUGCUUUGGAGAUUUGUGAAUAAAGACAUACUAUUUUUGUUAUUGCUGUUUUUAUGCGUACACAUGGCAUCUGUUAAAAAUAUCUUCAUUUCUGUUCUGCACAAAAGGGUCUUAUGGGUUUGGAGCGACAUGAGGGUAAGUAAUUAAUGACAUAAUUUACAUUUUUGGGUGAAAUAUGUUCUAAUGUGGCUAUAAUUGGUCAUUGUUAUGUUUUAUAAACAUUUUCAAUAUUUUAAAGAUUUAUUGUUUUGAAAAAUGAUGUUUAUACAGUCUACUUUUGUUGGUAACACUUUACAAUAAGGUGUCAUUUGUUAACAUUAGUUAAUGUAUUAACUAACAUGAACAAACAAUGAACAAUGCAUUUAUUACACUAUUUAUUAAUCUUUGUUAAUGUUAGUUAAUGAAAAUACAGUUGUUCAUUGUUUAUUCAUGUUCACAGUGCAGUAAUGUUAACAAACACAACUUGUGAUUUUAAUAAUGCAUUAGUAAAUGCUGAAAUUAACAUUAACUAAGAUUAAUAAAUGCUGUAGAAGUAUUGUUCAUUCUUAGUUCAUGUUUACUAAUGUUGUUAACUAAUGAACCUUGUUGUAAAGUGU